AAUCUUAUAAUUUAAAUUAAAAUAUUAAAUUGCAAAUUUAAAUAUAUAUAUAUAUAAAUUGUAUUAAGAUUU
rnacentral:tRNA from 2 species